CAAAUCUUGCUCAUUCUCGUUCCAUCUCUGUGGCAGUGCUGUCGCAUGUCUGGCAUUAAUUUGGUGAAUAUUUUACUGUCAUUUUCAACUAAAAUCGACGCUAGCGGACGUAGGAUUUGCCAAGGCUCCUGCUUGAAAGUAAUUGUAGAACGGACUGAGAUUGAAAUCUCAAAAUUAAUAACAGUCUAUUCAGUGUACACAAAACAAAAAUGCAGGCGACGAAACCUAUUUUUCAUUGUUAUGAGUGUGAGGGUGACUUGUGUACAAUGCCAAUAAAUCGAAUGCCACUUUGUAUAACUGCAAUUAACUGCUUUAAAUCUACCAUUCGAGAAUCCGCAGACAUCGUACAAAAAUUACGUGGAUGCGUUACUUCAUUACGGCAUAACCAAAAUAUUUGUAAUAAUAUAACACAGGGAAAACACUCCGAUUAUGGUUAUAAAUGCUGUAAUAAAAAUGAAUGCAACGGCGGCGAUUUCCCUGAGCUAAAUGACCCUUAUGUAGAAAGUUAUUACGGAUGGAAGUAUAUUCUAUUGUACAUCACGUUAGUAAUAAUCUUCAUAGCUUUUAUAGCAGUUUUAGUAUCCCUUUACAAAUUACACAAGUUUGAUAGUCGCAUGAAUAGAAGGGCUGAAGAGCAUAGACGACAGGAAAUGGUAGAAAUGUUGGAUGUAGAUAGUCGGCGUCUGAACGAGGCCAUCAAUGGUCAAGCCUGGCAUUGACAUUCCCAAAUCAUUUCUGUGACCGAUAGCAUCGCUCAGCUAAUUACACAAAGUCCUUUAUUGACGGUAAUAAGGAUGCGACAUGGAUCAAAAUUUAGUGAGUGUUUCGGAAUCAGGCAAUCUCGAAGCAAGGUAUUUUACUAAAAAUGUGGUUCUGUUUUCCAAAUGGCUAGCAGAUGACGAACGAGAGCCAACAACGGAAGAGAUGCGCUAAUUGAUUGUCGAUAACCGAGGGUCUGGCAUUGCCCAUCAUUGGUAUAUGAAUUAGACACUGAAUCCUUCGGGUUCUCUGAUUCAAGCAUUUUGGCAAGAAAAAGCAUCAGUACGUUGGAUGAUUCGAUAAGUUAAGAAGACGCUUUCAAAUAAUGAUCAUAUACUUUAAUUGAAUAUAAUCUUCAUUAGAAAAUAAUUCUUUAGAAAAUUAUUUUUGAUUUUAUGAAAAUUAUUUGAUUGGAAAACAUUUUUGAAGACGCAUUUCUUUUAUUUAGAAAAUUUUUUUUGUUAAACUGAAGUCUGACAGCGUAGUUACAAUUUGAAUUUAUUUAAAACCAAAAUGUAAAUUUCAAUUUAUUAUUUCGACUAUCAUUGUUGUUUAAAUAGUAAAGAAUAUUCUGUAGUAAUCUGAAAAAUAAUAUUAAGUUUUUAUCGUUAAAUGUGAAAAUCUAAUUUAUAGGUUUAUUCACUAAUGAUUAAUUAAUUAUAUAUUGUGACUUGCAUAAAUCUUUGCGUUAAGUGAUCUAUUUUAUAAUUCAUUUCUAUAAGAC